rnacentral:lncRNA from 1 species
UAUAAUGGUAACUCAGUAUGAUGAAAGUAUGAAUCUUUAGGUAUAGUUAUCAUAUGAUUCAAUCCUUCUAUCGUAAGUCUCGACUUGAUGGAGGUCAUGGAGAGCUCGUCAGACUCCAUCAUCAGUCAUAUGCUAGAUUGGCUCGACUCGAGUUCAUUUGUAAAUCCCGUGAAAACUCUUUUCUAGUAUUCAUAGUUACUUUGACCAAAGACUUUCUGAACUCAGUCUCAUAAAUCGCAUAGGAUUUCUCUUUUUCUACCAAGAUCGAUAGAUUUUAUCUAGGUACAUCCUACUCGAAAUAGCGAAUCUGAAUCUACUGAAGCCAACAUACACAGCAAGGAUCCGAAUAGCUAGGGAUCAAGAAAACGUGUAGUCAAAUUCAGUAGCCUCGCUGCGAAUAGCCAAUGACACCGCAGGUCAAAAGACCACUCACACCACUGC